rnacentral:rRNA from 1 species
AGAAUCAACGCUGGCGGCGUGCCUAACACAUGCAAGUCGCACGAGAAAGUGGAGCAAUCCAUGAGUAAAGUGGCGCACGGGUGAGUAACACGUGACUAACCUACCUCCGAGUGGGGAAUAACUGAGAGAAAUCUUAGCUAAUACCGCAUAACACUUACGAGUCAAAGCAGCAAUGCGCUUGGAGAGGAGGUCGCGGCCGAUUAGCUAGUUGGCGGGGUAAUGGCCCACCAAGGCGAUGAUCGGUA